GUGAGCUCCCUCGCAUCUCUUCGUCUCCAUUCUUUUCUUCCUCUCCCUUUUCCCUCUGAAUAAUCCACUUCUUUUGUAGGAGCAGAUUUGGGGCUCCAUGGGCAUGGAGCAGCACCGUCGGCAGAUUACUCUCCCGUUCGUCUCGCUGCCGCCACUCCUCCGACCCUCGCCAACCGUCUGGCUCAUCUCUUUUUCACUGGGAGCAACGAGCACAGCCGUGCGACGGACGAGUGACAUAGCCCUGCAACGAGCGCCCGGCGACUGCUCCUUCAUCCCCAUCAGCCAGGUCACCACGCUGGUACCUCCGCUCCCACCUGUGCAAGCCACCUCGUCGGCACGUCCGUCCUCACCGGUCAAUGCGAUAUUAGGUGCCCCUGGUCUCCCAUUUCCUCUCCUCCUCCCCCCCUCCUCACAUUCUUAUAUCCCCUUCCCAAUUCAUGUGUGAUGUAUUUUGUUCUUAAUUUUGGUUAAUUCAUUACAUAGUUCAUUGUUGUUUCCCGUGUGAUUGGUAUGCUAGCUACGGAUUGUUCUGUGAGCAUCAAUCAGUCUGGAUGGACAAAUCUCUCAUCAAACAUUGGCAAGGACAAAAGAGGUGGACACAUUCAUUGGGAGGCUUUUAGAUAUUCACUCAAAGAUGGUGUGCCUUUACAAUUGCCUUACACCAAGGUAUUUGUUUUCAGCUUAACCUGAAAACAUUUUUUUGCUUACAGGGUCAUUCAAAUUCUUCUUUAUACAAGGAUAGGGUUUAUUCAUAUGACUAGCUUUUGCGAUGAUCUUUUGGAUAAUCUAACCAUGAACUUAACUCUGUCAAGAAGGGCAUUACGAGCCUUCUGAAUUACUCAAAUUAUGUUUGUCUUGUUUCUGUGUGGAUUCAUUUGUAUGUUUAUGUUUAUGUGCUCAGAACCAAAUGAACUGCUCAUCUAGCAGUUGGAGCAAACCUACAAAGCUAGAGCACGAGAAAAUGAUGACGUGCAUAACCUUUUCUAUUUCUAUAGCAUUUUCUUAUCUACUGCAGAUUCUAUAAUGUAUAAUCUUAGAUUCUUAGGUAUACCUUUCAGCUGUAACAUCCCUGUUUACCAGCUGGGUAAAGCUGUACUUCCUCUGUCCCAAAAUAUAAGAUGUUUUAAUUGGCUAAAAUAGCCUACCAAAAUAUCUUAUAUAAUGGAACUGAGAUAGUAGAAUAUAUAUUUUUGUGUAAUACAUGCUUUUGCUGCCGAAUUUUCGCCAAUAGCACAUCACAGGUAUUUGCAAGGAGACACACAAUUCUACUUGGUGCUGUUAUUCGUACAUUUGUUGCCCUUCUGCAACCAUCAUUGAGAAGGCUCGGCUAUGUGAAAUUAGAAAUGCAUUUGAGCAUUUUUGGUUUCCUCUUAUCCCCAUAUAUAUUGCUAUUGAGAUCCUUCCAAAUUGGUGUUUGACUAGACAAACAGGAGGUCAAGUUUGUUAUAGCUGGGACUUUGAAUAAGGAAUAAGAAACAUAUUUUAUGGCUUAUAAGGCCUUUACCUGAAUCUUCUGUAUUUUUGUUUAUUUAAUUUAUUGGUCGAACAUCAGACCUUCAAUAUGGUAGUUUUCUCUAUUUUCAGCAGGAUUGACAUUUGAUUUGGUGUAACAAAAAUACAAGUUCAGAUUUGAUCUGGCAUGCACGACCAUCAUUAGUAUCUUAUCAAUUGCUGCAAUUUAAUUAGUCAAUAGAAUGCCUGAUGCUCUCGUACGUUCCAAUCCAAUCUUUCUGCUUCACACACAAAAACCGGUCUAUGAACCUAGCAUAGAGGAACUAUGCUCUUGAAAUGAUGAGUAUUAUAAUAAUCAUUUGAGCGCAUUUUCUAAUUCAGGAAUAUUCAUUAUCAACUUGAUAUGGUUAUAAGCCCUAUGUCCUUCGUUUAUGAACGUAUCAGUACCACUACCUCCUAGAGGAAAAUGGGCACAAGUAAAAAGUUCUCCUUUGUAGUUAGGACUGGUUCUGUGCCCCCAACAUUGGACUGUGUAGUAUAUGUUAUAUGUUAUUGCUACCGACUAAAUGGGAAAUUUGUAUGCACUUGCGGGCAUAGUGAGUUGGAGAUUUGCAGGAUAGCUCAACCGGAAGGCUACAUUUUAUCUGCUUGCAUAUUCUCGUAGGUGUACAAGUUUCCAGUCUGCUUAUCUAUUCCUCGUCUAAGAUGGCACCCAGUUCUAGAGACCAUAAGAGAUUUUUUUUCUGAAGUAUGAUACCACAUUACUUUGCAUGUUUACAAGAUGUCAUUGGCCAGUCCGGCUUCUACCAUUUUACCUUCGCGCUUUUUAAAAUUCAGAAACAUAAUGUAUUUGUAACAAAAUGAACACCUAUGUAGGAUUACAAAAUAAUCUCCCUGUGAUUCAUUCAGAAUCUACCCAAGAAGCUAUUCUGUGGAUUUUGAUUCAGAUUCAUAUGUAUACUUCCAUGAUGAUUUGGUCAAAUCCACCUUCCCGGGAUAGUCUUGGAAUGAGUUGUUCUAGCAAGUGCUUUUGUUUUGCUUAAGCGCUUAUUUGCUGCCCUAAGAACUUCUUAACUUUUGGCACGUGCUAAAUGAAUGAAAACUACUUUGUUCCAGUGCUAGAUUAGCUUACCUUCUGUCAGAUCCCACCCAAAGGACAAAGAUAGAUGACAUUCCUGAUUUACUUACUGUUGUUUUCAUUACUAUAUCAGAAGCUUAAUAAUUAUCUUGUCUUAUGCAGAAUACAGUGCAACUGUUCAAAACUUGUAAGUUUAUAGAUGAUGUUUGGUAGCGUGAUUUAAUAUGGUACCCAGUUCUAGAGACCAUAAGAGAAUCUUUUUUUCUGAAGUAUGAGACCACAUUGCUUUGCAUGUUUACAAGAUGUCAUUGUCCAGUGAGGCUUCUACCAUUUUACCUUCAUGUUUUUAAAAAUUCAGAAACAUAAUGUGUUUGUAACAAAAAUGAACACCCAUGUAGGAUUACAAAAAUAAUCUCCCCGUGUAUUUUAUUUCAUGUCAAUGUCCUGGGAUUCAUUCAGAAUCUACCCAAGAAGCUAUUAUGUGGAUUUUGAUUCUGAUUCAUAUGUAUACGAUGAUUUGGUCAAAUCCACCUUCCUGAGAUAGUCUUGGAAUGAGUUGUUCUAACAAGUGCUUUUGUUUUGCUUAAGCGCUUAUUUGCUGCCCUAAGAACUUCUUAACUUUUGGCACGUGCUAAAUGAAUGGAAACUACUUUGUUCCAGUGCUAGAUUAGCUUACCUUCUGUCAGCUCCCACCCAAAGGACAAAGAUAGAUGACAUUCCUGAUUUACUUGUUGUAGUUUUCAUUACUAUGUCAGAAGCUUAAUAAUUAUCUCGUCUUAUGCAAAAUACAGUGCAACUGUUCAGAACUUUUAAGUUUAUAGAUGAUGUUUGGUAGCGUGAUUUUCUUACAAUUUCCCCUCUUUAUGCAAGCAAUACUAAGUAUGAGAAGGUUGUCCAUCAAGAAUAUGAGUCUGCAAUGCAGGAACUGAGCGCCAUAAUUCCUGUUUGGGAGAAAUAAACUUUCAUAAAAACAGCUAUAAGCGACCUUUGUCAUACCUUAAAGUGGGAUAUUUGACUGCUUCUCCAGCAAACAAUGCCUUUGCACCACACAGAUUGGGAGGUCGCAAUUUGUUUCAAACCAUCAGGGACCCCAGCAGGUUUAUCCUUGUUGCAUUGGGCACUUAUUCCUGAUGAUAGUCGCCUGCAGUUUGGAUGAAUGUGGAAAUGCUUUCCUGAGAGUUCACUCUAUGCUCUCACCCUUUAUUUAUUUUGUACUAUUUUGUUUUGCAUGUGUAGACCACCAGGUCACUUGUGUACUAAUUAGUUUAGAUGUAAUCUGGCACUCAGCCAUUAUGUGCUUAUUGACAUGCGCCUACUGCGCUUUUUGCCAAAUUAUAUGUUCCCAGAAUUCCAUCGAAAAGCCAGGAGAUUGGGGCCCGCCUCCUUACAAUAAUUGUUGUAUAUCUAAAAAAUUGUUCUCGUGUUGUUGAAAAGGACAGGGAUGGCCAACUUGCAUAGAAACUGAAGAAUAAAUUGAACAUUUCUGUUGAAGGAAACAACAAGGAAUCUAUCUAACUUGCUGAGUUGAGGCGUAUAGACUUUCUAAUGUAGGGAGACUCUGAAGAAGCCGUGGUGGCAGAGUUGCCGUCGAAUCAAUAAAUUGGGUUUUACUUCCCUCGAAGACUGUUGCGAUCCCCUAUACUUGUGGGUCAUCACGACGUCAGGGCUAACAACACCGCCUAUGUUGUAGGCGAUGUUGUGAGAGCCAUUGCGGCGGAGGCAGAAGAUACGCUUCCACAGAGCCCAGUUAGGAUGAACUCCGAGGAAGCACUCGCAGAGGGUUAUGAAGAUAGAGACAUGAAGGAUGGAAUUGGGAGUCAGCUGAUGAAGCUGCAACCCGUACACAAAAAGAAGGCCGCGGAGGAAAUCAUGAAUGGGGGUAGAGAGGCCGCGGAUAAGAUGGUCAACAAAACUGACCCGAUAUUCGAUAGGAGGCGAAGGAUAGCUUUCUUCGCUGGGGAAGAGCAGCGCCUCUUUCUUCUUCAUCAAUCCAAGUUUUUUCAUCAGGUUGAUGUCCUGAUUGGAAAUCUUGGAUCUUUCCCACUCCGUCGUUCUGAGAUCUGGCGUCGUCAUCUUCGAUUCAGGAGUGCUAUGCCUGGUGAGUCUGGUGCGUGGUGGCAUGAACAAUGGCAGAAGCAAAAGUGAAAUUGUGGAUGAGCUCAGGAAGUGUUGGGCGCAAUGGGGGAUUUUUGGAGAGAGAACAGAGGUGCGGCGCGGCGAAGUGAAGACCAGAGGAGGAAGACGACCUGUUAUAGGAAGCAUGCGGGUUGAUGCACCGUUGGAUGGAGCGGUUAUGAUCUUGAUGGAUUACAUGUGGCUUAAGGGGUAAAGUGGUAUUUUCGCAAGGAUGGAACUGGACAGGCGUUGCAGCGCGCGUGCCAGAAAAAGUGGAGGACGUGUGCCCCCACUUGCGUAACGUGUCAACCUGCCGCGGAUUUUGGGUCCACCAGUCAGUGACAGGAUAGAGAUCGUGUUUUCCGGUAAAGAGGUCGUGGCUAACGUCAGCAUUGAUGUCAUUUUAGCAGAGGAAUUUUUCGACAGUGACGAUACGAAGACUGGUCAAAGAAUACAAGUGAUGAUAAUUUCGAGAGCUUUCGGUCAAAUACAAGUUUUUGAUCAAAUGCUCGGAGGCUACUCUGGAAAAAAAAAAUUCGAGUAUGACAAAAUAGAAAUGGCGAGAGCCUAUGAUCAAAAGCAAGCAUUUGUUCAUAGCCUCGGGGGCUACUCCCAUCCGGAGCGCUGGUCACGCACCCGAUAGAACUAAAAAGCUGAAGAAAGGAUGACAAUAUAGCGACAUAAGGCGUUAAAAUGUCGAGCCUACAACCAAGUACAAGUCCUUGGCUGUAGCCUCGGGGGCUACUCCCAUCGGAAACGCUGUUCGCGUGCCCGAUGAAAUUAUAAAAAGUAUAGUGAGCAUGUUUCGAGUUAUACAAAUAACUCUACAUAUACUCCCAUCGGGAAGGCAACAUAAGUCAUAUGUUGACUCAAUAAAAUGUGCUAUUCCAGCAGUCGAAACAGGACUCGACAAUAUAUUCUCAGAGCGCCUAAGUUGCGAAUAAUCUCUGAAUGCCGCAAAACUUUGCGAAGGUAAGACCCCAUAUCCGUUCUGAGCGGCGUGGCACCGUCUCUGACGUCGGUUCGCUACUUGUUUCCGUAUCAAAAGAUACGAAGAAAAAUCUUAACGGACGUGUUAGGUACCCGAUAAAAUAUGACUGGGACUCGACAGAUGGUAAGACCUUAAGCGGCACCUGUCGAGUUAACACCAGUAUCCCGAGAUCAUGUCCAGGGACGUGAUCUUGAAGUAGGUUUUUGCGGAUUGCCACUAGAGCAGUUAACUAGUACCUGAUCCGUCAGAUGAACUAGAAUUACCAUUAUCCCUGUACAAUAUAAUUUCAUAUCCAAAGAAAUGUGAUAAACUUGGCAGAGUUAUUGUAUGAUUAUAAAGUUGGAGAUUUUUCCUGAUUCUUCGAUUCAAGCAAAAUCUCGGGAGCUACUGACAUAGGCAUCCCCAAUGGGCCUGCCAAAUAUGGUACCCGGGGUUUACUGAAGGCCCACGAGUCGAAGAAUGUGAAGCCUGGAAG